rnacentral:rRNA from 1 species
CCUACGGGGGGCAGCAGUGAGGAAUAUUGGUCAAUGGACGAAAGUCUGAACCAGCCAAGUAGCGUGAAGGAUGACUGCCCUAUGGGUUGUAAACUUCUUUUAUAUGGGAAUAAAACAGGGUAUGCAUACCCUCUUGUAUGUACCAUAUGAAUAAGGAUCGGCUAACUCCGUGCCAGCAGCCGCGGUAAUACGGAGGAUCCGAGCGUUCUCCGGAUUUAUUGGGUUUAAAGGGAGCGUAGGCGGAAUGUUAAGUCAGUUGUGAAAGUUUGCGGCUCAACCGUAAAAUUGCAGUUGAAACUGGCAGUCUUGAGUACAGUAGAGGUAUGCGGAAUUCGUGGUGUAGCGGUGAAAUGCUUAGAUAUCACGAAGAACUCCGAUUGCGAAGGCAGCUUACUGGACUGCAACUGACACUGAUGCUCGAAAGUGUGGGUAUCAAACAGGAUUAGAUACCCUAGUAGUC